GGGGCUGUAGCUCAGUGGUAGAGCACAUGUGAGGCACUGGGUUCAAUCCCCAGCACCA
rnacentral:tRNA from 1 species